UACAUGUGGGGCAAGCGUUGUUCGGAAUUACUGGGCAUAAAGGGUGCGUAGGCGGCAUGUUAAGUCACUGGUGAAAGUUUCGUCCCGACCCAGGAAAAUUGCCUGUGAUACUGGCGUGCUGGAGUGCGUGAGGGGUGGGGGGAACGAGCAGUGUAGCGGUGAAAUGCGUAGAUAUUGCUCGGAAGGCCGGAGCCGAAGGGGCCCCACUGGUACGUAACUGACGCUGAGGCACGAAAGCGUGGGGAGCAAACAGG
rnacentral:rRNA from 1 species